rnacentral:rRNA from 1 species
AAACUUUACAAUGCGCGAAAGCGUGAUAAGGGUAUCCCAAGUGCUUACCUUUAAGGUGAGCUUUUGCCAAGCGUAAAUACCUUGGCGAAUAAGGGGUGGGUAAGAACGGUGCCAGCCGCCGCGGUAACACCGGCGCCCCAAGUGGUGUUCAUAAUUAUUGGGUCUAAAGCGUCUGUAGCCGACUUAGAAAGUCCUUUGUGAAAUUGUUGGGCUUAACUUAACAACGUGCAAGGGAUACUACUAAGUUAGGGACCGGGAGGGGGUAGGAGAACGCCUUGGGAAGCGGUAAAAUGCUUUAAUCCUUGGCGGACUACCUAUGGCGAAGGCACCUACCUAGAACGGGUCCGACGGUGAGAGACGAAAGCUAGGGGAGCGAACGGG